GCGUUUUUGGGACAGUCGGAGGGACAUUACCGAGUUUACAACUCCCAAACCCAAUGUGAACGUUACCAAACUGUUGCCUCGGCGGGAUCUCUGCCCCGGGUGCGUCGCAGCCCCGGACCAAGGCGCCCGCCGGAGGACCAACCAAAACUCUUAUUGUAUACCCCCUCGCGGGUUUUUUACUAUCUGAGCCAUCUCGGCGCCCCUCGUGGGCGUUUCAAAAAUGAAUCAAAACUUUCAACAACGGAUCUCUUGGUUCUGGCAUCAAUGAAGAACGCAGCGAAAUGCGAUAAGUAAUGUGAAUUGCAGAAUUCAGUGAAUCAUCGAAUCUUUGAACGCACAUUGCGCCCGCCAGUAUUCUGGCGGGCAUGCCUGUCCGAGCGUCAUUUCAACCCUCAAACCCCUCCGGGGGGUCGGCGUUGGGGAUCGGCCCUUUACGGGGCCGGCCCCGAAAUACAGUGGCGGUCUCGCCGCAGCCUCUCCUGCACACUACUUUGCACACUCUCAUCGGGAGCGCGGCGCGUCCACACCCGUUAAACACGCUAGACAUCUGAAAUGUCGACCUCGAAUCCUGUACUAAUACCCGCUGAACUUCAUUAUAUCACUUUUUGGAAGCAA
rnacentral:rRNA from 1 species